GCAAGCCGGCCCCCAGGCUGUCACCGUCAGGCACAUAUAGGACCCUGCGAUGGCUGGUGACGGCCAGUCUCUGUCUGACAGCCGCCGUGGCACUUCUCUGGCCCUCCUACACCCACCGGCCGGCACACUACAACGAGCU
rnacentral:snoRNA from 1 species